AAUCCAGGGAGCUUCCAAGAACAUGAAGUUCUUUCAGUGGUGUUUCCACAGUAAAUUUUGCCCCAGCUCUCAGGUUCAGAAGUUGAUGGGAUGCCAGUUUGAACCAUAAUGUGGAGCUCUGACAUCUGGAGGGUGUGAUCACACUUGGUACUCACAAUGUUUCUUGACCUUUAGAGGACCUCCUGGGAUUGCUUCCAGAUUAACUACUUGUGCUGAAAUCCUACUCUUGAGAAUGGCUUUGGGGGAACCCCAGCCCAAAGUAGAAGCCACCAUUCUUGUCAAGCAACUGUCUUCUGUAGCCAUCAUUACCCUGUGGGUUCCAGGAACCUCUUCCUUCCUCCCGAUGCCCCUUUGGGCCACGCAUAAUCAUGGAUACCCAUCGUUUCUACUCCCAGAGUACAUGUCACACUUGAGUAUAUCCUGUGUUGUCCAUGCUGUCCAUUCUCUGGAUUAUGGCGGCAGAAGAAGCACUGUCUCAUCAAACAGACAUUGUUGACACACAGAACACAGACCCUCGUGCUCCCCUGUCUGUCCCUCCCACAGAUACUUUUCUCAAUCAGCAGCUUUCUCUUUGCCAUUGCAGAGGCUCUGGAGCAGGGAGCUCUAUGACAUUUCCAUUUUUCCUGGAAA
ensembl:lncRNA